rnacentral:snRNA from 1 species
UCAGUUUCUGUGACUGGCUUCCAACUUGGAACCAUACAGAGAAGACACACGUGGCCCCUGGGUUAUGGGCGACAUCCAAAGCUGUGACGCAUUCCAUAUUUAA